AUAGAAUUAUAAAGUGCUACAACAACAUGAUUUUAAGGUCCCACAGCCUUACAUCACAAUAAUGUUCAGUUUUGGUGCAAUCAGCCUAUUACCUAUACAGAACAUUAAGAUAGUACAAAAAAUUUUGAUUAAUCCCUGCAAAAAAAGGGAAAGCGGAAGCUCCGGUAGAUUUAUUCCACCAGCUGCAGCAGCUAAGUCUAGUCCAAUCAACCUAUUCUGAUUGUACAAACAAAUUUUGAUUGAUCUCUGUAAAAAGGUCUCUGCUCGCUAUUCAGACUUUCAGAAUCUAUGAUGUAGGAUAAAUUCGGAUGAAGGUAUUCUGUCAUCUGCAAGACAUUACUUAAGCAAACGAAACUCGCAGUUUCUACACAUUAACGAAGGUCUGCACGAUCUCAUAUAACCUUGAGAUGUAUACCUAAACUUCUUUGAGAAUGGGCCAACCUUUCUUGAUAAUAUCAUUGAUCUUUCCAUCAAUCCGCUUUUGGAUUCUCGAUGGACAAAGCUCUGCUGCAUAGCCAUUUAGUUUUGUAGCCAGUGUUGAUCUCUCAAGCUCCUCCUCAGGCAAGUUUCCCAUCAAUUGAAGUAGGAAGGGAUUCCGCUUG
rnacentral:misc_RNA from 1 species